rnacentral:rRNA from 1 species
UACGUAGGGUGCAAGCGUUGUCCGGAAUUAUUGGGCGUAAAGAGCUCGUAGGCGGUUUGUCGCGUCGGCUGUGAAAACUCGGGGCUCAACUCCGAGCUUGCAGUCGAUACGGGCAGACUAGAGUUCGGCAGGGGAGACUGGAAUUCCUGGUGUAGCGGUGAAAUGCGCAGAUAUCAGGAGGAACACCGGUGGCGAAGGCGGGUCUCUGGGCCGAUACUGACGCUAAGGCGCGAAAGCGUGGGGAGCGAACAGG